CCCUUUAAAAAACUUUAUUUUUUUUUUUUCAUUAUAGCUGGUUUACAGUGUUCUGUCAAUUUUCUACUGUACAGCAUGGUGACCCAAUUACACAGACAUGUAUAGAUUCUUUUUUCUCACAUUAUCAUGCUGCAUCAUAAGUGACUAGAUAUAGUUCCCAUGCUACACAGCAGGAUCUCAUUGCUUAUCCAUUCCAAAGGCAAUAGUCUGCAUCUAUUAACCCCAAGUUCUCAAUCCAUCCCACUCUCUCCCCUCCCCAUUGGCAACCACGAGUCUAUUCUCCAAUCCAUGAGUUUCUUUUCUGUGGAAAGGCUCAUUUGUGCCAUAUUUUAGAUUCCAGAUAUGUGAUUAUCAUAGGGUAUUUGUCUUUCUCUUUCUGACUGACUUCACCUAGUAUGAGAGUCUCUAGUUCCAUCUGUGUUGCUGCAAAUUGCACUUUUUGUUCUUUUGUAUGGCUGAGUAGUAUUCCAUUUGAUGCUUUUAAUGACCAGUUUUCCCUGCUAGACUGAGAGCAACUUCAGGGCCUGGGGCCUGUUCUGUUUACAUAGGAUGGGCUUUAAAAAUCUUUGUUGAGUAAUUUCCAUGUAAAAUGUUCACCUAGGUAUACUUUCUUUUCUAUCUUUUUAGGGCUGCACCUGUCGCAUAUGGGAAGUUCCUGGGAUAGGGGAUGAAUCAGAGUUGCAGCUGCUGGCCUCCACCACAGCCCCGGCAAUGAGCAAUCUGAGCCAUGUCUGCAACCUACACCACAGCUCACAGCAAUGCCAGAUCCUUAACCCACUGAGCGAUGCCAGGGAUUGAACCCACAUCCUCAUGGAUACUAGUCAGGUUCUUAAUCUGCUGAGCCACAAUGGGAACUCCACCUAGGCAUACUUUCUAGACACAUUAAUGACAUCUGAGUAUACUGAAUCUGACCAGUGAGCAAGGGCUUCAUCCUAUUACCACUGUAAGUGGUCAGGAAGGAGAUGAAUCAGACUCAGCCCUGAUCCUCAGGAGCUCACCAUCUCUUGGGAGAGCCAGAUACUAAAUGCCUAGAAAGUGAUUUGAUGUGUACAAAACAUAGAUAGAACUUGGUGAAGUCGACUGGAGUGACUUCAAUUAGAACUGCAAUGUAUCAGUUACCUACUGCUGUGUAACAAACCAUCCCAAAACCCAAUGGCUUAAAACAACUAGCAUUCAUUAUUUCUCAAAAUUCUGUGGGUUGCCUGGGAGAUUUUGCACUGGGCCCAUCUGGGCUCUCUCAUGUGGCUCUAUUCAGCUAAUAUAUUAGCUGAGAGCUGGGCUCAACUGCAGUGGCUGGGUCUCCCCACUCUCCUUCAUCCUGGGCUGCUUCCUGGCAUGUUCUCAAGGUUCCAACAUGGUUGAGGCCUGAGCUUUGGAACUUGCAACAUGUCACUUCCAACACAUUCUGUUGAUGGAAGCAAGUCACAAGACCAGCCCAGAUACCAAGUGUGAAGAGUAGUUCCAAAAAUUUGUAGCCAAACUUAACCUACCACAUGGGUUUUGAGGUGGUAAAGUUUUCCCAGCAUCUAAGGAGCAGCGUCAAGAUGGAGAGGGCACUGAGGGUGAGGUAUAGAGAUGGGAAUAAACAGGAUAUGGCUGGACAACACUCCAGGCUUAGUGUGACUAGGGAGGUAAAUAUUGGGAGUUGAAGAUGCAAAGAUAAAUUAGAGGUUCCUGGGAAAGGCCUUGAAUGCCAUACUUGGAAUUUUAAGUUGAUCCUUUGAAAGUUUUGACAAGUCCCUAUCUGUUUUCAAGAGCUCACUGUAGCAGCUCCUACAUGGUACAGAUGCUGGAGAGGGCAAGAGUGAAGGAACCAGGGAUGGGGUACAGUGAUCCACGAGAGAGGGGUGAGGCCCGGGUCAGAACUGUGCCAGGGUCGUCACAAGGGCAGGGAUGCUGUCCUCAUGGCUUGGUGACUUACUGGAUACUCUGUAUGUUCACCUUUCAGGCUCUUUGUCUUCCUUGCUAAGUUAGAGGGGCUUGGCAGGGGCCAGGGGCGGCUGGAUGAGUGAAGAGGGAGGGCAGUAUGAGUGGGAAGUGACGGGAGAGGCCUGACCAUAUUCCUCUCCAGACUGAGCAACUCCUGUCCCACUUGUGGCUGAGAGUCCAAGGCCUGGCCUGGAGCAGACAUCCCUCCCGGUGGGCCAAUGACUCAAGUUUGUUAACUCCUUUUCUUCAAGUUCCCUAAAAACUCUUUUCUUCCUAGCAGAAAUGUCAUUUAGGAGUUCCCGUCAUGGCUGAGUGGUUAACGAAUCCGACUGGGAACCA
rnacentral:lncRNA from 1 species